rnacentral:rRNA from 1 species
ACGCUGGCGGCAGGCCUAACACAUGCAAGUCGAGCGGUAGCACAGGAGAGCUUGCUCUCUGGGUGACGAGCGGCGGACGGGUGAGUAAUGUCUGGGAAACUGCCUGAUGGAGGGGGAUAACUACUGGAAACGGUAGCUAAUACCGCAUGACCUCGCAAGAGCAAAGUGGGGGACCUUCGGGCCUCACGCCAUCGGAUGUGCCCAGAUGGGAUUAGCUAGUAGGUGGGGUAAUGGCUCACCUAGGCGACGAUCCCUAGCUGGUCUGAGAGGAUGACCAGCCACACUGGAACUGAGACACGGUCCAGACUCCUACGGGAGGCAGCAGUGGGGAAUAUUGCACAAUGGGCGCAAGCCUGAUGCAGCCAUGCCGCGUGUGUGAAGAAGCCUUAGGGUUGUAAAGCACUUUCAGCGAGGAGGAAGGCGUUGUAGUUAAUAGCUGCAGCGAUUGACGUUACUCGCAGAAGAAGCACCGGCUAACUCCGUGCCAGCAGCCGCGGUAAUACGGAGGGUGCAAGCGUUAAUCGGAAUUACUGGGCGUAAAGCGCACGCAGGCGGUUUGUUAAGUCAGAUGUGAAAUCCCCGAGCUUAACUUGGGAACUGCAUUUGAAACUGGCAAGCUAGAGUCUUGUAGAGGGGGGUAGAAUUCCAGGUGUAGCGGUGAAAUGCGUAGAGAUCUGGAGGAAUACCGGUGGCGAAGGCGGCCCCCUGGACAAAGACUGACGCUCAGGUGCGAAAGCGUGGGGAGCAAAC